rnacentral:rRNA from 1 species
UUAUGUGGUCAAGCUACUAAGGGCGCAUGGGGGAUGUCUUGGCAUCAGGAGGCUUUGAAGGGCGUGGAAGUCUGCGAUAAGCCCGGGGGAGUUGACAAACAAGUGUUGAUCCCGGGAUUCCCGAACUGGCGUACACUGAAUUCAUAGGUGUGCGCAGCGAACGCGGUGAACUGAAACAUCUAAGUAACCGCAGGAAAAGAAAGAAAAAUCGAUUUCCUCAGUAGCGGCGAGCGAACGGGAAAGAUUGCCCAAACCGCGGAGGUUUUCCUCUGCGGGGUUGUAGGGCCCUUCACAUGGGAGUCACAAAGCAAUUGGCUAGCAGAACGACGCGGAAAGGUCGACCAUAGAGGGUGAUAGUCCCGUAUGCGACAGUUAAUUGCCUCCCGAGGGGUACCUGAGUAGGUCCGGUCACGUGGAACCCGGACUGAAUCUACGGGGACCAUCCCGUAAGGCUAAAUACUCCCUGAUGACCGAUAGUGAACUCAGUAGGGUGACUGAAAGAUGAGAAGAACCCCUUCUAGGGGAGGUAUGUGAACCUGAAACCAUGUGCCUACAAGCGGUCGGAGCACUAUGGCACCUUCGGGUGCAAGGUGUGACGGCGUGCCUUUUGCAUAAUGAUCCGGCGAGUUACCGUUUGCGGCUUGGUUAAGGCCUUCCGGGCCGAAGCCCUAGGGAAACCGAGUCUGAACAGGGCGAUUUGGUCGUAAGUGGUAGACGCGAAACUGGGUGAUCUACCCAUGAGCAGGUUGAAGCGCGAGUUAUAUCGCGUGGAGGACCGAACCCACUUAGGUUGAAAACUGAGGGGAUGACUUGUGGGGAGGAGUGAAAGUCUAAUCAAACCCAGAGAUAGCUCGUUCUCUCCGAAAUAGCUUUAGGGCUAGCCUUGAGCCACUACGCUGCGGGGGUAGAGAUACUGAAUCGGUUUGGGGCCCUUCCCGGGGUACCCUGCUGAACCAAACUCCGAAUACCGUAGCGAUUAUCUCAGGAGUCAGUCCGCGAGGGAUAAGCUUCGCGGUCGAGAGGGAAACAACCCAGAUCACCUGCUAAGGUCCCGAAGUACGACUUAGUCACUAAGGAAGUUGAAUUGCUGAGACAGCCAGGAUGUUGGCUUAGAAGCAGCCACCAUUUAAAAAGUGCGUAACAGCUUACUGGUCGAGCAAUUCUGCGCCGAUAAUGAACGGGAGUAAGUCGUACACCGAAGCAGUGAAUUGCGCUUUGCGCAGUGGUAGGAGAGCGCCGCAGAUCAGAUACGAGCCGUACCGUAAGGAGCGGUGUUGGGGUCUGCGGGUGAUUAUGCCGGAAUGAGUAACGAUAAAGCAGGUGAGAAUCCUGCUCGCCGAAAGCCUAAGGUUUCCUGGGGAAGGUAAUUCCGCCCAGGGUUAGCCGGUCCCUAAGUCGAGGCCGAAAGGCGUAGACGAUGGAUAGCAGGUCAAUAUUCCUGCGCUUCGAAGUGGACUGAUGGAGUGACGGCGUUUGGAGGGUGAGGGGACGAUUAGAAAUGUCCCUCGCCUCAUGGUGAGGUAGCCGAUAGGUAAAUCCGCGGCAGACGCCAAGUCAUGGGGACAUCCGGAUACCGGAGAGUCAUCUGAAGGACGUCCAAGAAAAACUUCUAGGGUUGAAGCUUUGAAACCGUACCAAAACUGACACAGGUAGGCGAGACGAGAAGUCUAAGGCGCUCGGGAGAACACUGGUUAAGGAACUCUGCAAAAUGACCCCGUAAGUUCGCGAUAAGGGGUGCCUCUUGGGGUUUGCGCUCUGGGAGGCCACAGAAAAUCGGCUUCUGCGACUGUUUAUCAAAAACACAGGACUCUGCUAACUCGUAAGAGGAUGUAUAGAGUCUGACGCCUGCCCGGUGCCGGUAGGUUAAGGAAGACGGUUAGUCCUUCGGGAUGAAGCUGGCGACCGAAGCCCCGGUAAACGGCGGCCGUAACUAUGACGGUCCUAAGGUAGCGAAGUUCCUUGUCGGGUAAGUUCCGACCUGCAUGAAAGGCGUAACGACAGAAGCACUGUCUCAACCAGUGACCCGGUGAAAUUGUAGUCGUGGUGAAGAUGCCACGUUCCCGCAGUUAGACGGAAAGACCCCGUGAACCUUUACUGUAGGCUGAUAUUGGGCUGAAGCUUAGCUUGUGUAGGAUAGGUGGGAGGCUUUGAAGGGUGGACGCCAGUUCAUCCGGAGCCGUUGGUGAAAUACCACCCUGGUUAUGUUUUAGUUCUAACCCUGAUUCCCAUGAAACUGGGCAGGGGACAGUGUCAGUUGGGCAGUUUGACUGGGGCGGUCUCCUCCCAAAGAGUAACGGAGGAGUCCAAUAGGUACCCUCAGCCUGGUUGGCAAUCAGGCAUCGAGCGUAAAGGUAGAAGGGUGCUAGACUGCGAGACUCAUCAGUCGAGCAGGUACGAAAGUAGGGCUUAGUGAUCCGGUGAUUCCGUAUGGAAGGGUCAUCGCUCAUCAGAUAAAAGGUACUCCGGGGAUAACAGGCUUAUCGCUUCCGAGCGUCCAUAGCGGCGAAGCGGUUUGGCACCUCGAUGUCGGCUCAUCACAUCCUGGGGGUGGAGAAGCUCCCAAGGGUUUGGCUGUUCGCCAAUGAAAGUGGUACGUGAGCUGGGUUCAGACCGUCGUGAGACAGGUCGGUCCC